rnacentral:misc_RNA from 1 species
UUGGGCGCAAGUUUAAUUGAGUUUAUUAGAUGGAAUGCACGUUAAAGAGCCAAAAGUUAAUAGUUCAAGUGCUAUACGUAAUUGAGAACACAUUGAAACAGUCUAAACUAGCAGAUGAUGGUGUUCAAUUGGAUAUCAACUACAAUAAGGUUGACAAUUCAGCUUUUACUAAUAGAGAUGGUCUUAUCUUGAUCAGAAGUUUGGUUGAAGAACUGCAGAAACUGAAGGCUGACUAUGAAAAGAAAUCAAUGGACAGUGGGGCAAUGAAGAUGGCCAGUGAUGACCAUGAUGACAUUGAAUGGUCUUUAGUUCAAGUUAAAGCAGACAAAGCUGAGAUUGAUAGAAGAAUAUCUGCAUUCAUACAACAAAAGCAGAACGAAGUUGACAUGGUCAACAAGCGGGAAUUUUGUAAUAUAGUAGAUGCGAGCCAGGAAAGCCAAGAUGUGAGUUGUGCAAGGACUGAUGCUCUUUUUGUGCCACGAUUUGGCCAAAAAAGCCAUAUUAAAGUAACGCGUGUUGGCAACACAAGCACGUCUGACGAGGCCCAGGCUCUUGGAAAAAUCUCUGACAUCACACGACACUAUGGAAAACCUAAAGUGAUAUGCUCAGAACCAUCUGUCACAGAACGACUACAUAACUUAGAAAAUCACCUGGGAUUCUCUUCAGGAGGGCCUGUUGCGCAUGACAUUUAUGAAGUUUUGAAACAACUGGAAAACAGAGUGUUAUUUCUCGAGAGUCUUUCACCAGAAUACUUCAACCCACAUACAUUGCAGAGGAAUAGAUCGUAUGUACUAGGGAAGCAAAGUACCAUCUCGCCGUCAUAUGAGGGUAUGUCGUUGGAUGCCAUCGAUGAGCGCAUCGCAGUAUUAAAAAACUCGCUUCACCAAAAGACAAGAAAUUGAACUAAAGAAACAUAGACCAAUAAUUUUCAAGAACCGAAAACUUCUGGAACUUGUGGCUACUCCCAGCGCACCGAAACUGGACUUAUUCAGCACAAACAUGAAACAUACGGCGCAGCUGCAUGGAGUACGUCUAGCCUCACCUCAGGACCAAUGGACCAUGGCGUAUCAACUUAGAUAACUUAUAACUUAUAGAACUGUUUAUUAAAAAUAUUUGUAUGGUAACAUUCAUUUAUUUAUUUGCGUAGUUAUCCAUUAUGCACAAUAGAAAUAGUUGACUGAAACUGGCGGCUUAAAGAGUUCGAUUAGAUGUUGUUGUUCUCUGGCUGAGACUAAGGAGUUACCGAUUUAAACAAAAAAUGUCGGCAUAUUUUCGCGCAACAUCCCUUGGCGAAUCGCAUGGAACUUAAGUAAACCAAUAAAUUGUGAUGACCACCGCGGCGGCGUUGACUUUGUCUUUUCCCCUGCAUGCAAUUCAAGUUUUAUUCGAAACGUUGCUACUCAAGUUAUCCAGUGAAAUAUUACCUUAACA